UUUUUUUUUUUUAAUUUUUUUUUUUUAACUCUGGCACUCUUUGUGUUAAACACAGUGAGUUUAACACUGGCCUUUUUGGCCUGCUCUUAACUUCUUCUGUAAAUGAAGUUGUAUUUUUGUCCUUGUAAUGCAAGUAUUCUCUCCUAGGCCCUGUUUAAGCUUUGUUAAACCCUGUAUUGCUUACUUUCCCAACAAAUAAAUAGGCCUCAUUUACUUUUACAGUAACCAAAACUGAAAUUAUUGAUUACCUGUUCCUUCAAAACAUGGUGUUAAACAGCUUCACUUCCAAACCAGAGAAACUGCACACAGCAGAAAAUCCCCCAGAAAUGUAAAAAGGUCAGUGGUGCAUUUGAUGACAUGAGUGCUUAUGAAGCCACAUAAUUCAUCAUUUUGUUACUGCAGAACAUGUUCCUAGGGAGAUUAACAUUUGCCAAUAAAUAUACCAUAUGCUGGAUUCUGCAUGAAGAUUUUUUUUAAAGCUACUUUACUAAGUCAUUAUGGAUCUCCCAUGACAACUACGACUAAAAAUGGGCCAAACCCACCAGGGUUCCCUAGACCAGUGAAGGAUGAAGGUUAAGGGAUGAAGUCAUGUCUCAUUCGUGUACCAAUUCUUCAGUGAGAUGUUUACAAUUAAAUAGUUUGGUUGUGACUUGUCUUUUGGGCAGAACUAUUACUCCUCUGUGAGGUUGUGGACUUAACCCUUCCUUCUCUCCACAAGAAGAAUGGAGAAAGAUCACAGACAAAAGUAAAGUAGAAUUUGAACAGCUAUUAGUGUCUGAUGAGGUUUAGAUUCCAACAUGAAUUGUGGAUAUUGAAGAAAGGCUAUUAGUAGUUUCCUAUUACAAUUAAAUUCUAACUUAUUUUCUAAGUCAAAGGACCAAAUGAAAAAAAUAAAAAAACUAGUUUUUUGGAAGUUGGUCUCUCACAAGAAGCUGUUAUAUGUUCCACUUUCAUCCUGUCAUGGUCCUUCCUUAGUAAAGUUGCCUGAAACUGCAGAGAGAGAAAAUGGGCUUUCCAGCAACUGCAGCAGGAAGCUCCAUUAGACAGACACAGCACGAGCUCACUCAUAGUCUAUAGCUGCUUGUACCAACCAGCUGAGAAAAAUCCUUUGCAGAUUGGUGAAAAAAGCAUCACAUUGCUUCUUUGACUCAGCUAUCUUCCUGACUUGUGCCAAAAUAGUUAAUAUUUCCGUGCCUGCCGUCAGCCUCUCCCGUGUUACACUCUGCCAGUAAAUGAAAUAUGGCUCUUUAAAACACACAACCUGCCUUUGUGCGUGUGCAGACUCAAGUACUCACACAAAACAUACUUGCUUUUGACGUAAAAACACUAUAUAUAUACACCCAACACUGCAUGUGCUGAACUAGAACCUAAAUCACGUCACUGGAGGAAAAUUCUUUGAAGAAUUAAGUAUGACUGGGGGCAGGUUCACAGCAUGUGAGAAACUCUAAAGAUCUCUGGAGAUGAAAGACAGUACUUAAUUUUAAACACUGGGAAACAAAUUCCCAGUAUAGCUGGAAAUUAAUGACAAUAUUCCCAAGAAACUUCAUUAGAAAGAGUAUUUGGCUCAUGUGACAUAGUACAGAUGUUUAAAUUUUAUCAUGAUGGAUACUGUGUAAAUGACUAAAUAAAGAAGGAAAAGACAUGAUGAAAUAAAAACAAUAGUAGUAUGUAUUUUAUAAAAUUAUCUUAAAAUGGAUGUUCAAAAUAGAUGUAAUUCUAGGCUUUUGCUUUUGUGAAAAAGUCUUUCCCCCAUUUUAAGUUUCCAUUUGAAUGAACAGAGAGAUUUCCUAAAGCAAACCAUGCACUAACAGAAUAAAUUCCAGUUCAGACAAUAUUCAUAUAAGUGCAUGUCCUGCCUGUAGAAGCAUAUACGGUUUCUUUUCUCUGGCCACUAUAGAAUUAAUUCUGCUGAGAAUCAGCACAAACUUGAUAUAUCUGAGAGGAAACAGAACAAGAGAACAGUAUGUGUCUGCUUAUCUGUUUCAGCCUAUUUUUAAAUGUGAAAAACUUUCAGUAAAGCCAAACACCAGCAAUUAACAAUCAGGAAAUCCUUUUGGCCUGACUGAUCAAGAAAUGGUAUUAUUUCAGUGCUACAAAUGAAAUGGUUCAUAGAACUGGCAAAUGGGACACUUUUUCCACACUAAAUUUAAAACAGUUGCAAUAGCCAAAAUUAACCAAGGUCAUAGCCAUAUAUGAAGGUGCUAUUUUGAACAGAAAAAAUGAGCUAUCUGAUUAAAAAAUAUAUAUUUUUACCUUGCUGUGUUUUGGAAGAUUCAGUGUCUUUCCUUCUUCUCCCCUAUUCUUCAAGUAACUUUUCAUACCACUGUGUUUGAACAGUAAAAGCUCUUUGUACCUGGUAGCUUAAAAUGAGUGAUGUGUAAGCAAUUCAUUCCUCCUGCAAUCAUGGGUGGUGCCCAGAAGAAAUGACAGAUUUUCUGUGUGUAUUUUGAAAGACUUGAGAGUCCACUUUAUCCUGACCAUUACAGAAUGGUUUUGCUCCAACACAUGUCAGGGAAAUGACACUGAAUGGGCUUUCAGGGAAAAACUGUCUGACAGCCCAACUACUUGCAAAUCAUUAAGUUGCCAGUUUUUUCUUUCCUAUCAAUAAAGUAAGAUAGAAAGCAGAAUGAAGUAAUUUAGCCACAUAGGCAGUUAGCACAUGCAAGUUCUUGAGAGCAGAGGAUGUUGAUUAGCUAUGGGACCUAUGAGAAGCCAUCUUAUCCAGGUAAUUAUGAGGCCUCUGAGACCUGCUGGUCUAUUGCCUGGAGCAGUACUGUGAUUUUUGGCUGCUAGAUUUUUUCCAACAGUUCUUGCUACAGCCACUAUAGACUUCUAAAUCAUUAUUUUGGCUGAUGAAACAGUAAAGACUUGAGUUCAUCAUCCACAGGAUGAUCUCACUGCUCUGCAAGUAUCAGGCAGAGAUCAUCUCUGCUGUCUUUUCAGCCUUGUUGUAACACAGGUUAAUUACAAGAAAUGUGGCUAUAAAAGAGAAUGUAAUUCUCAGUAUUCUCACCACCAAAAUUUACAACCUAUUAAGAAAUUUUGAAAUAAUUAAAUAGCAUUGUAGACAUGUCCUUUUUUAACAACAACAGGUUCCCUCUGGUGAAGAUGGGGGUCUCAAAUACCCCUAUACCCCUUUUGUUCUUUUCUAACAAGGCAGCACCCCCAAAAAGCACACAUGCACAAGCUUCUGUGCUGAUUUUGUGAAACCAUUUCUGUUUACAUAUGUAUUUCAUUAAUUUUGAAUAAAACAAAAUAAUUACUAAUAAGUCUGCCUAUAGUCAUAAAUAUUUUGUCCAUUGCUGGUAUGAAGUUACUUAUCUGUCUCCUGUCACAUGCAGGUCCACCUAAAAGAAAACAGAGCACAGCAGUGAAGUCUCAUUAUUGUUUGUAUCUGUCCCUAUUUUGGAAACUUAUGUAAUUUCAUACUACCUUUACCUUAACCAUUGUUUGCCACUUUCAGCACUAUCUCAGAAUGUUACAGGCUCUGUCUCCCUCUGGUGAUCAGCGAGGCCACAGGACAGCCAGCAUCCCCAUGAUGCGUUUCUGUGAUCCACACAUAGGACACUGUUCAUUUGCCACUCAAAAUCCAAAUGAUUGCAUGCCAACAAUAUCUUAUAUUUACUAAUUGUAUAAUCAUACUACUGACAUAUGAUUUUGCAGUUACAGUUUAAAAUAUAAUUCCAAUACAAAUGGUUUGAACUUGUUUUCUAAAAAGUUUGCAUGUAAAAUCUUUCCAAGCCAUGUUGAAUCAAGUUAUAAAUAUAUCAGUAGGAGAACUGUGGCUCCUAAAGAGACUUUAAUGUGAAAUAUUUCUUAAAGAGCACUGUAUUGCCUUGCACAAUAUACUUUCAGUUCUUUGAAGUUGCUUUUAUUCUGAAUAGGCAGUGCUUGACUGACAUAUCUUCUGCUCCAUAAAUCUAGAUGAAGAGCAUAAAAUGCCAGAGAAAACCUGUUAGUUUAACAGUAGCUGCCAAGUUAUAUUUUGCGUUAUACCUAUGUGACAUCCUAAAUUCUUCUGAUGUGUAUCUAUACAUUUACAUAUAAAUAUACAUAUAAAAGAGAGUAUAUCUAUCCACAUCCACCCACAUACUUAGAGGACAAGGGUAGAAAUAAAAAAUUCAACUCUGUAGAAAUGUAUUUCUCCUGUUUCUAGAAUUCUGUGCUCUCCUUACUUUCAGAAAAAACUCAUUCUCUUCCCCUAUCUGACUUAAUAGUCAGUAAGAUGGUGGCUUCAAACUGCUUCAAAAGGUGUGGUUCGAGGAGAUGCAUGAGGAGCCUCUUGACUGCCAAGCACUUUUCUGAGAGGCAGCAAUGGAAAUCUCCAUGUGGCUUAGCUACUUCAAUUUUAAUCAACACCAAACUCUCUUUUCCUUAGUCUCUGCUGAUAUAGUCCAGUCUUUGUUUUAAAGGCUUCUCAGAACAGGUAACAAACACACAGCAUCUGGUCUAAAAUGUUCAUGUAGAAGUGCAAGCCUCUCCUGUCUUUCAGGAGAAAGGUUGAAAUAGAGGCAUUGAAAUGGCUCCCAAAUGCCUACUAUUUGUCAUGUGGCAAAUUUCUAUACCAAACAAACACAACCACAAAGUAAAUUGAAGCAUACAUAUGCAUUUGAUGUCCAGAUGAGUAUUUUGUGUUUUUAACACUGCCUAAUGAAAUAUGUGCCUAUUUAAUGGUUUUGUUGUUGUUUUUUUUUUUUGUUUGUUUGUUUUUUUAAAGUAUAACAAAAAGCAAACUAAGAGAAUGUCUGAGGUUUUUAACUGCUAUGGCAUAAAAAGGAUUUUCUCCCUGUUUCAACCUGCUCAUAUGAAUACAGCAAAGGCUUUCAAUGUGAAUAUCUACAAUGGGAUUUAUUUGUGGUAAUCUUUGUUCUUUAUUCCUUUUAAUGCUUUGAAGUACGCUUUAAAGCACUUACCUUCAGUAUCAAAAGGUUUGUGAAGAUAUACUGUUAUUUUACCAAAAACUGGCAAAAAUCAUCCUCAGUGCUGACACUGGAUGUCACUGGAUGGCAAUUUUCUACCACAGAAUUAGAAUUGCUGAUGAAUAUGUUUGUUUUCUACUCCAUACUGUAGAGGGAAAACAGCUUCAAAAAAGUCACCUAGGAGAGUAUGCCCAGGAACUUAUCAGGCAAACACAUUCAAGACACUGAGACAUCCAACUGACUUUUAGGUGAGACCAUCAGCACUUUUGCCACAGUGCUGUUUGUAAUAUUUUAAAAGCAAUGCAUUUUAAAAAUGCAUUUAAAAAUUUCUUGCUAAUGCAUUCCCAGUGGAUCCAGAAAUUAUAACUAUAUUUCUUUUUUUCUGUUAGGAUUUUAGGAAAUCCAAGGACAAUUGUGAUCUGUAACAUCAUCUGUAAGGGGUAUGCAAAGGAUUUUCUCAUUAUUAGGUGCCUCAGAAAGUACUCCCCCAAAUGCAGCUGCCUCAGACAUGUUUUUGGGAUUUAAAUCUUCAAAGAGGAAGUUUAUUGUCUCGUCUAGAUCAACUGUCAGAUAUCAUGCUCCAGGAAAUAAAAGAAUUGGCUGAUUUAUUUACUUUUUUACUUGGUAAGUAAGGGACCUGGAAUAACACAGAUCUAAUCAGCAUCCUAUUGUGAUUGCCAAGUGAGUUCCUCUUGAGCAAUAUCAGUGAAUUAUCCCCUGACACCAUCAGGAAACAGUGAGCAAUGCAGCAUGUGAGCGCACUGCAGCAUGAGGUACCCAAGACAUAGUACCUGCAGCAGGUUCAACCAGUGACAUAUUACAAACCAUUUCUUCUAAAAAACAUGAAAAAACUGUGAACAGCCUGUUUUACACAUGCACUUUUAUGGCGCAGCUUUCUGCACAGGCCUUGCUCCCAUUGCUAGGAAAGCAGACAGUUUGUAGGGCACCAGCAUUUAUGUCACCUUGCAGGUGUUAGGGCAGUGCAAAUUAUAGUGACUCAUAGUGGCUCAGUGACAGGCUUGAGUACUUCAUGAAGCAGCUGAUGCUGAUGAUGCAACUCCUCCUCUUUUCCUCCCAGAACAUGCUAAUAUCAGCAGCAACUCUGCUUUAAAGAGCUCUUCACCAAUGUUCCCUUCUAAUGCCAAAGAACUGACUCUAUCACUGGAAUGGCAAAAGUUUUCCUGUGCUGCUAGAAGGACUUUUUUUUUUUUUUUUUUUGGUAUGUCUAAGAUGCUUUUUUAUACAUAUGUCCAGCAAGAAAAUGACAGGAUCCAUGUUUGAACAACAGGGAAGGGUACUAAGAAUGCCAAAUUCAGGACAGGAUUAAUCCCAGGACCUCCAUUCUCUCAUUCCACACUUACUCUACUAACUCACUUGGGCAAUGGGAACUCCCCUUCACCAAAAUAUUAGUUACUGCUCAAGAUUCUUCCCUUUAAUUAAAGCUGGACUUUUCAAUUACUCUUUGUAAGCCAUCACAGAAUCAAGAGAAUGUUUAGGUCUGGAAGGGAUCACUAAAGGUCAGCUAGUUCAAGCUCCCUGCUCAAGUACGUGUCCCUAGAGCACAUUACUCAGGAUUGUGUUCAGACAUAUUUUGAGUAUCUCCACAGAGGAGACUCUACAACCUCUCCAAACAGGGCUCAGUCAUCCUCACAGUAAAACUUUCCACAUUGUUCAGGUGGAACUUCCUGUGCUCCAGUUCCUGCCCAGUGUCCCUUGUCCUAUUGCUUGGCACCACUGGGAAGAGCCAUCCUCUAGACAUCCUCCCUUCUGAUACCCACAGACACUGAUAAGAACCCCGCUCAAUUGUGUCUUCUCCUGGCAAAAUAACUCCCUCAGCCUUUCUUCAUAUGAGAGGGGCUGCAGUUCCCUUCUGUAGUCCUCUGCUGGACCCCCUCCAGGAGCUCCAUGUCUCUCUUGUGCUGAUGCCAGAACUGGACACAGCACUCCAGGUGAUGCCUCACCAGGGUCAAGUAGAGGGGCAGGAUUGCCUCCCUUCACCUCCUGGCAAUUCUCUUUGGAAUGGAGCCCAAGAUUCCAUUGGCCUUCUUGGACACAUCACGUCUAUUUUCUCCUGUGCCACUACUGCACGCACAGUGAAACAUGAGACUCCUAUAAAAAAACCUUUGCUUAUAGCUCCUGGUGCCCAGUGAGAACUGGGCAUUGCACUGAAAAAAAGGAUUUUAUCUUAAAAGACCAGAAGAAUAUUUUAGAAGCUGUCGCAUUUGAGUAGAUAUUUUCAAGAAAGUUUAAAGUUAAGUCACUUAUUUGAUUCCUUAGCAAACCUGUAGGUGAAUCUUACCUGACCAGUGCUCUCAGAAAAUAAAUGCCCUAUCAUGGACCACUUGCAGAAUUGUUGGUAGUCUUGAUAGUACUAUAAAAGUCACAAGGUGUGAAGAUCUCACAGAGUUUCCUUUUAAGUUGAUUCUUAAAAGGGAAAAUCACAGUAGAAUCACAUUAAAAACCCAUUAAAGAACUGCCUGAAAGGGAUCUCAGGAGGUCAUCCAAGUUCUGCUGCCUCAUGGCAUUUCUGAUGGUUGUUGCUGGCAUGUAAUUUCUGACAGUCCCUUCUCCCACCUGUUCUUAAAAUCCUCUAAUUACAACUCUCUCCCAUCUUCCCUCUGGCUAUUGUUUCCAGUGCUAUCAUUACUUGUGGAAAGUUUUGCUAACACAUGACCGCCAUAUCCUUUGCAACAGUUCUAUAUUUACUGCUUCUUGUUCUGCCCCUAGCAGACAAUGUGCAGACCAGCAAGGAGGGGCAUUAUUUCAAUCCUCCUUUUUAGCAGUGUACUGGAAGACUUAACACUUGGUCUUAACAUUUUCAUGCAUAUGCAAUCACAUAGGUAUAUGGCCAGGCCACAGCUUUUUGAACUGCAAAGCCCCUGACUUUGUCCCUAAGCUGCAGUUUUUCCAUACCCUAUCAAAAUGUAAGGCUAUGCUCAUGUCUGAACAGGAAAGAGGGCAAACUCCUUUUGGGCCUUUUCCCUUCACUUCCAGACCCACAUGAUUUUCUUUUCUUGGAGCAGUAUUGCCUUCUGAAAACAGAGAUAAAAAGCUAGGUCUGUGUUCUAACAGCAUCAUGAUUUCUUAUCAGUUUCCCAAAUAUACCCUGAAUAAUUGUUUUCCUUCUUCCUGUGCACUGCUUGCCAGUAAGCACACUGGCAAAACACCUAACUGUUAGAGUGGGAAAGGAAGUGACUUUGCAGCUGUCAAAGAAAUGUUCUCCAGGAAACAGACGGCUAGAGCUAUUAUUUACAGCUGACCAUACAUGUUAGACAAAAGCCCACACUACAAAAUCUGGAGUAUCUGGAAAAGUAGUGAUGCAUCACUAAAUGUAUGCAAAGAGGAUGGGUGGUUGGUGCUGUGCAUGCAACACCCUUCUUUACUUGGAGAGGUUGUGUGGCAUAUUAAGAACCUGUCUGAUUUCUCCUGUCUAAAUUCUCUGAUACUUGGAUCAAAGUUACGUAUUGACAAAGUUACAUAUUAUAUAUUCCAUUAUAAUGAAGUACAAAUUAAAUGGGUACAAAUAGUGAAUUGUAUGUCUGGUGUAUGCAAGAAGGUGAUAGGUCAGUGAUAUUCUACAGAGGCAGAGGAUGAACUGCUGGUAAACCCCUGCCUGGGCUUUUACACUUGGGCAUACAGUGCUCACCGUAGUUCUAUGUCUGAAAGAUAUUUUGUUUGCAGGGCAUGUGCUGUACUUCUGCACAACUGCUUGCUUACUUCCAACCUCAAAAAAGUUAUACAAAAGCUAACUAAGUAACAGCCCAUACAUGGGCAUAGCUGUACAGUGGGAAAGACAUUCCGGAACUUAUGACAGGAAAUGAAAUAUAUUUUGAGAAAUUAUUCCUACUAUGUCAUUGAAAAGCCAUUUUAUGACAGACAAUUAAGCCUUGCAUUUUGAUGCUAGAAAUGCAAGGACUACUUUUAAAACAAAUCUUUCUGUUGAUUUUUCCAUAAGUAAGUUUUUAAAAGGCUAAGAAAUAUUUCAGGUGUAUGAGGAGGUGAAUCUUAGUGUACAUGCAAAGUUGUCUCACCUUUGAGAUCCCUUCACUAAUCCAUUAAUUCAUACCUGGCAUAUGAUGUGCUAACAUUUUUAGGUUAAUUUUGAUUUUGUUGCAUGAUCAUAUCCUGACGUUCCUUGUGAUGGUAGAUGAUGAAACAUGCAACAAAUUAGGUCUCAAGAGAGUAUAGUUCUGAGACAGUUACCAUCUUGUUAUAAAUAAGUGGAUGUUGGAGUAUUUUUUUACUGUUAUGCUGUCAGUCAUAUUUUGUUAUGCAAUUGAUCUUAUGACAAUUUGAUGUUACAAAAAGGUUUCUGAAUGACAAUUACAGUGAAGUGAAA
rnacentral:lncRNA from 1 species